CCUUCCCGUUCUCCAAGCUCAACUCAAAGGCAGCUGCACCCAGGCAGCCUCCCAUCUCACACCCCUGGUCUGCCUGUGCCAGGGUCACGGACUGAACCGCAGCCAUGAUGGCUGGAGGGACGCUCCACCCAGCUGCCCGCGCAGGCCCAGCCCUGCCCAGCUGACCAUCAGGUGGCUCAGCUGACCCGCACAGGAGCCCUGGGACAAGCACAGUCUCAUUUCAGAGGUGGGGACACAGGCCAGAGGGGACAGAGGCUAAGACCUGUAACAUCAGUGGCCCAGCCACAACUUGGACCCAGGGCUCUAGACCCCUUGGACCUUUCUCCUCAGAGCCAUGCCCUGACCAUCGUUUGUUCUCCAUUCAUUGGACAGCAGUGCCUCUCUGUGCCUGGGCAGGGGACACCCACACAGGAAGGGGAGGAGGGAAUAGAGUGAUGGCAGGAGCAUGUGGGUGGCUGCAGGGGCAGACAGGAGAGGGUGCCAGGGGGCAGUCAGACCUCCAGCUGGCAGGAGUUGGAGGAGGCCUGGCCCGGGGGUGCUAGCUGGGGAGGUGGCACAAAUCCCAGCAAAGAAAAGCCUGCCCCCCUGCCCUAGGGUGCUCUCCACGGCCCGCCUCUCACAUGGGCCACACUCUGCAGACACCCAGUGCCCAGAGGACAAAGAGCACACACAUGCCCCAAAUGGAGCAAGCCUCGGAUUCACAGUGCAAAUUCCCGGGUUCCUGGUUUGGGUUUUCCAACAUUUUGCCACCUUCCGGCGAGAAGAGUAGCCGUCAGCUGAGUAGCGAACCACCCAGUUGAAAGCUCAGGCCAUCGGAGGUAUGGCCGUUGCUAUGAGACAGGCAGAAAGCAGUUCGGAAGCCCAGGGGAUUCCUCACCAGCCUACAGAUGCUGCGUCAUCACCUCUCAUUUGCACCGGACACGUGUGAUGGGGGCCUCGGCAGCGAAGAAGGCGGAGUGUGUGAUCGGAGGUGCAGGGCAGGUGCGGUUUUAGAGCAGGGGACAGGCCUCUCUGACCCUCUCUCCAUCUGUGCUCCCCCUUCUGUGUUGGAGCUGGGGAACGAGAAGCCCUCUGCAAACCCAGGCUCACCGGUACGAGUGCUCCUUUCUCCCCACACCUUAGGCUUUGCAUUGCCCGUGAACAGGCCAGAACCCCGUGUGUUGAGACCCUGUGCUGGCACCUUCUUCUGCAAUCGCUCACAGACUGCUCCUUUGUACACCAGGUCCCAGUAGAAAAGCGAGGACCUCUCCAAAGAGGGCUGUUUUCAGUUCUGGGGCGUUCCUUCUCUCACAGGAGGUAAACAGAAGCAAUCAAGCUGACUAGAAAAUUCCCUUAACGAAGGCUUUUGGAUCGCUAUUGUCAUUGCCCUAAGUGAUAGCCUCUCUCGAGGGAUCACAACAAAACUGUGAGGAGGGGCAACGGGUCCAGGUCCCGUGUUACAGACUAGAGACCCGGGCUCUAGCAACGACCUGCCCAGUGCCACCCAGCUGGGAAGGGGCAGAGUGUGGCUCUAACCUCAUUUUCUGAUCCCAAAUCCUGCAUUUCCACUGGGCCCAGAUAUUGGGUGUGGUCUCCAAGGAAGGCAGUGUGUGGCCGCAGGGCACGUGGACAGGGGAGAAGAAGCACUGACUGCGUACUAGGUGCCUGGGUUGCCCCAGAUGCUUUACUUGCACCGAAUAGGACUAUUCCAGGAAUGCCUCUUAGGUCUGUGGAGCGUGGCGUGAUUAUCCCGUUUCACAGAUGGGGAAGUAGUCUCAGAGAAAGUGACUUGCUCAAGGUCAUGGGUGGUGAGGGUGGAUUUAAAUCUGGGCCCCAACUGUCUUGAUUACACUAAGACAGGGGAGCAUGCGGUUACUGCUGUUUUAAGGCCAAGUCCUGGGCCGUUGCGGUCUUGUAAACGAUGUAACAGGAGAGGUGACACCAUUGUUGCCGUUAAAGUGCUCAUUAAAUGUCAACUUUUUUUUACUUAUGACUCAUACCAUAAAGUCUAUUUUAAAAUUUGAAAGGAAAACAAGGAUAAAUACUGUGUAAUUCUCAAGGAGUAAACUUGAUAGGAGGUCUGAGUAAACACAAGACAACAUAAAUCUCUUUCCUUCUUUCCACAUCCCUCCCUCC